rnacentral:rRNA from 1 species
UUCGGAAUGAAUAAUGAUAUGACUGAGUGGCGGACGGGUGAGUAACGCGUGAGCAACCUGCCCUUCGGAGGGGGAUAGCGUCUGGAAACGGACGGUAAUACCGCAUAAAGUGUCUUGACCGCAUGAUCGAGAUACCAAAACUGAGGUGCCGAAGGAUGGGCCUGCGUCUGAUUAGCUAGUUGGUGAGGUAACGGCCCACCAAGGCGACGAUCAGUAGCCGGACUGAGAGGUUGACCGGCCACAUUGGGACUGAGAUACGGCCCAGACUCC